CAAAACCCUAAUCUCUCUACCUUCACCAAAUGUUCGAAACGACAACACGAUGACUCCUCACCACUCUCAGUUGCCGCUGACGCGAUAUGGGACACGAUGGGUAAGGUGGCGAAACGGUGGAUGAGUCGGCGAGCAACAUUGUUUCGAUUUGGUCAAACCCUAGCUCUCUAUCUGCUCCAUCCUACUCCGAAACGACAACAGCUAGCCGACAACUCCAUCCCACUCCAAAAAGGUGAGGACACUACCACCUGGAUAACACAACCUCCAUUCCAAACCCUGCCAAAAUCGAAAAAAUAACAUCCCCCGUCGGAACCGGGUGAAAAAGGUAACGCUCCAAGCGGCCUCCGUGACUCUGUCGUCUCCUGCUGCGAAGGUUGAUUCGCCCCUUUGGCUUUUAAAUUUCCGAAUUGGCUAAUUCAAUAUCCUCAUCAAACCCGCCGCCUAGCUCCUCCUUACACCGUCUGCCUUCUUCGCCAUCUCCAAGAUUCCAACAACAAGAAGAUGUUUUCAAAAACUUUUUGCCGCCACUGGCCAACAAGCAUCAGGUAAUGGGUGCUCCAUCUCUAUAUCUUGUCCAGUCAAUCCCACACUUAGUUUAUGUAAUCAGAUUUUCGUCCAUGAAUACUGAUUUCGCAGAUUGGUGAAUGAAUUUAUUUGAUGGUGAUUUUUUCAUUUGCGCAGUAGAAUGCGACUAAUGUUUCUUUGUAAUUGGUAUUUAUAACGAACCAACACUUCCUUGGAAAGUCGUUAUGGACAUUGUUUUUGCUAAUUUUUAAAACAAUUCUGAACCGUUUUAGUGGCUUGACACUUCUUUUGACAUUGGUUUUGCAAAUUUUUAAAAUCAACUCUUUUACUAAAUAAUUGAAUUCAUUUUCAAAAUCUGAAUCAUUUCAGAUACUUCUUUUGAGAAGCUGCCUAUGUGCUAUCUUUUUUUUGUUUUUUUGGCAUGUUUUGUGUUGCAUUUCUUAUUUCAAUUUUAUUUCAGUUGUGUUGCGUUACUUUUUUAAUUCUUUAUUCACUCUCUAAUAUUUAUAUAAGUUUAUAUAUUUUGUCAUUUACACCAGCAUUGUUUUAUAUUGUUUCAAAAAAUUUAAAUAUUUCAUGUCUAAUUUACAUUUUUAGGAAAUAUUUUAGUUUCAAUAAAUUAUCUUUGCUUUGCUCAAAAUUUACUUUUUGCUGAAGAAUUUCAAGGGACUCAAUCUUCACAAUAUUUGAAAGAGCUUUUGGCAAUCUGCACAGAUUUGAAAAAGCUUUUGAUAUUUGGAAUCAAGAUUUACUUUUUGGUUGGAGGUUUCUGACAGCUAUAGAUGGAGUACUUUAUAGUAGGUUUUUAAUAACACCUGUGAUAUGCAUUGUCGAAUAAAAUUCUUGAAAAAUAGAUAUAAAUAAUAGAAACAAAAACCGAACAAAAUCAUAUAUUUCUAAAAAUAAAAAAGUUCAUUAGUUCUGGGGACUAAAAAAAAUAUUUUCAAAACCAGGUACAAAACUUAGAAUUAAACACGUAAAAGAUGGAUCGCCAAUACCCAAAAUUCUGCAAACAAAAAUAAAUGGAUAAAUUUAAAAAUAAAUGUAUAAAACAUAAAAAAUCAUGUAAUAAAAAAUAACACCCAACUAUAAAAAAAAUAAUCUGAUAAUUUAAUAACUAAAACAUGUACAAACAAAAUGUACAACCUGAUUAAGUAAAUAUGAACUGGGCCAAACUAAAUAAAACCACAUUGGGCCACAAAAAUAACAUGGCUCGAAUCCUGAAUUGAAACUCAGCCCAAAAGCAAAUACCAUAAGCCCAACUCUCAAAUAAAAUUUAAAACUAGCAUAAGCCCAAUUCCUAAUGAAAGCUGAUUAACUAAUUAACUAAAUCACAAAAUAAAAAAUUUAACUAUAAUUAACAUCACUAAUUAAAGGCACAUAAGCUUAUCUACUUCCCAAACACACUGCCACUCAACCACCGUUUCCAAACCCUAACCAAUCAAAACCUAAUCCGAGCGCAGCCGGUGAUUACGAAGACAAAGUCUCCACCGCUUGAAUAAAUGGCGACACCGAGUAAUCGUCAAACUGCUGACUGCGGUUGUUCCAAUUUUUCACGGCGGCAACAACGCAGCGACGAAAUACGCAACAAUACAAAAAAUACAGAUCGAAGGAAAUCCAACACCGUUUCGUCUAAAACAUCCAAGCCGGCAUACAUCUUGAAAAUCCUAACUCCGAUUGGCUGAAACUAUGUCCGGCGAAGAAAUCGGCCAAAACUGGUACAAACUUCACCCACAUAAGGAAACAGAAGGAUAUUCUCAAACACCAACUUCUCAUAAAUUCAACUGAUGUCAAUCAAGGUAUUAGCCGCCACCCUAUGCAAAAAAGAAGAGCCACUUUCUGCAGCAAAAAAGAGUGAAGAUGAUCAAAAUAAAAAGCAUGGCACACAAUCGUUAUAAAGAGAAUACAUGUCACAUGGAAUGCGUGGGAAGUUGGAGCGCAACUCCAUCUCAUCAACAAAUAUUGGAAGAUCUCCUUAGAUAAACACAAAAGAUUGAAGCUGCCGAAGAAAGAGAAAAAUAUAAAUACCAGCAUUGGAAAAAGGCAACAUACAUAUUUUCAAGACAACACCAUCAACACACAUAUUUUCAAGACAACAUCAUUAAUGACAGCAAUUUUCGAAGUACAAAUGUAGAAUACCAAAAAUAGUAACAAAAAUGCAUGAAAAAAGCCAAAGAAAAAUAAAAUAAAAUAAAAAUAAAAAUGAAACAACCUCAUCCCCCCCCCCCCCAAAAAAAUAGUGCCACAUGGCAGGCCAAAAAACUGACACUUUAUAUUUGUAUAGUUAUAAUCUUUUCUCUCUAUUUAACACACAAAAUAAUAUCUUCUAAAUUUCGUGUCAUUCCUAAAAGCAAAACGAGCUUUGUGAGAAGUUGGGAUUUAUUUUUCAUGUAAGAAGCUAGACUCGCAAUCCUAUUCGUAGAAUAUAUGAAAUCAGUAUUCGCAUCUC